rnacentral:rRNA from 1 species
UGGGGAAUUUGGACAAUGGGCGAAAGCCUGAUCCAGCAAUGCCGCGUGUGUGAAGAAGGCCUUCGGGUUGUAAAGCACUUUUGUCCGGAAAGAAAUCCUUGGCUCUAAUACAGUCGGGGGAUGACGGUACCGGAAGAAUAAGCACCGGCUAACUACGUGCCAGCAGCCGCGGUAAUACGUAGGGUGCAAGCGUUAAUCGGAAUUACUGGGCGUAAAGCGUGCGCAGGCGGUUUGCUAAGACCGAUGUGAAAUCCCCGGGCUCAACCUGGGAACUGCAUUGGUGACUGGCAGGCUAGAGUAUGGCAGAGGGGGGUAGAAUUCCACGUGUAGCAGUGAAAUGCGUAGAGAUGUGGAGGAAUACCGAUGGCGAAGGCAGCCCCCUGGGCCAAUACUGACGCUCAUGCACGAAAGCGUGGGGAGCAAAACAGGAUUAGAUACCCUGGUAGUCCACGCCCUAAACGAUGUCAACUAGUUGUUGGGGAUUCAUUUCCUUAGUAACGUAGCUAACGCGUGAAGUUGACCGCCUGGGGAGUACGGUCGCAAGAUUAAAACUUAAAUGAAUUGACGGGGUC